rnacentral:tRNA from 1 species
GCAAUGGUGGUUCAGUGGUAGAAUUUUCGCCAUCCAUGCGGGAGACAUGGGUUUGAUUCCCAGUCAAUCCA